rnacentral:rRNA from 1 species
UACGAAGGGGGCUAGCGUUGCUCGGAAUUACUGGGCGUAAAGCGCACGUAGGCGGAUUGUUAAGUCGGGGGUGAAAUCCUGGAGCUCAACUCCAGAACUGCCUUCGAAACUGGCGAUCUCGAGUUCGGGAGAGGUGAGUGGAACUGCGAGUGUAGAGGUGAAAUUCGUAGAUAUUCGCAAGAACACCAGUGGCGAAGGCGGCUCACUGGCCCGAUACUGACGCUGAGGUGCGAAAGCGUGGGGAGCAAACAGG